CUCAGUUCGGAUUGUAGUCUGNAACCCGACUACAUGAAGCUGGAAUCGCUAGUAAUCGCAGAUCAGAAUGCUGCGGUGAAUACGUUCCCGGGUCUUGUACACACCGCCCGUCACACCAUGGGAGUCGGAAAUGCCCGAAGCCGGUGACCCAACCAAAAGGAGGGAGCCGUCGAAGGCAGGUCUGAUAACUGGGGUGAAGUCGUAACAAGGUACC
rnacentral:rRNA from 1 species